AGCUUGGAGCAUUGAAUGUUUGCUCAUUGUACCUUAAAAUUUAAGUCUUUCACUUUCUUUUAGGGACCUUUUCCCUCUCACCGGAUUGCAGCACAGACUGCCAGACCCACUGUCUCAUAGACUGCGGGCAGGGACAUUACUACGUAGCUGGCAACUGCUUGGAAUGUCCGACAGGUUUCUAUUGCCCUGGGGGUCAAGCAGCUCCGAGGAAAUGCCCGCUGGGAACAGCCAAUGAACUUACUGCUCAAGCAGAGAUCACAGCCUGCCGGGUUUGUCCCAAUGGCUGUCUCAGCCUUGAGAGCGGAGGUGGGUGCCGUGCGUGUCCGGAUGGUUAUUCCUGUGAUCCACGUAGUGGUGUGCAGAGGAGCUGCAGUCCUGGGUAGUCCAACUCACCAGAGGGAGAGUUGGAGUGUCGGGCAUGUCCAGAGGGAUACAUCUGCCCAGACGGACAGAGCAGACAGGUCACUUCUGUUCUGAUGGCCUUGCGGUCCCUCCGUGCCCAGCAGGGAGUUUCAAGCCCAAGGAGGGACUUCACACACCCAGCAGAAGCUCCUCAUGCUUGCGAGGUCUGUAUCGGAAAAGAUCUGCAUUUUCAACAGUGGGGGUAAUAAUUCUCACUGUAAAACACACUGUUAAAUACAUCCUUAUGAAGAAGGGGCUGGCAGUUACAGUACUUAUCUACUGUAAAUAAAU
rnacentral:lncRNA from 1 species